GAUGAACGCUGGCGGCGUGCCUAAUACAUGCAAGUCGAGCGAACCGAUUAAGAGCUUGCUCUUAAGAAGUUAGCGGCGGACGGGUGAGUAACACGUGGGUAACCUGCCUAUAAGACUAGGAUAACUCCGGGAAACCGGGGCUAAUACCGGAUAACAUUUUGCACCGCAUGGUGCGAAAUUGAAAGGCGGCUUCGGCUGUCACUUAUAGAUGGACCUGCGGCGCAUUAGCUAGUUGGUGAGGUAACGGCUCACCAAGGCGACGAUGCGUAGCCGACCUGAGAGGGUGAUCGGCCACACUGGGACUGAGACACGGCCCAGACUCCUACGGGAGGCAGCAGUAGGGAAUCUUCCGCAAUGGACGAAGGUCUGACGGAGCAACGCCGCGUGAGCGAUGAAGGCCUUCGGGUCGUAAAGCUCUGUUGUUAGGGAAGAACAAGUGCGAGAGUAACUGCUCGUACCUUGACGGUACCUAACCAGAAAGCCACGGCUAACUACGUGCCAGCCGCCGCGGUAAAAC
rnacentral:rRNA from 1 species